rnacentral:rRNA from 1 species
GCUGGCGGUAGGCUUAACACAUGCAAGUCGAGCGAGAAAGUAUCUUCGGAUAUGAGUAGAGCGGCGGACGGGUGAGUAACGCGUAGGAAUCUACCUAGUAGAAGGGGAUAGCCCGGGGAAACUCGGAUUAAUACCGUAUACCUCCUAAGGGAGAAAGAGGGCCUCUCUUGAAGCUCUCGCUACUAGAUGAGCCUGCGUAAGAUUAGCUUGUUGGUAAGGUAAUGGCUUACCAAGGCUACGAUCUUUAGCUGGUCUGAGAGGACGAUCAGCCACAUUGGGACUGAGACACGGCCCAGACUCCUACGGGAGGCAGCAGUGGGGAAUAUUGGACAAUGGGCGCAAGCCUGAUCCAGCCAUACCGCGUGUGUGAAGAAGGCCUUCGGGUUGUAAAGCACUUUAAGCAGGGAGAAAAAGCAAUAGGUUAAUACCUUAUUGCCGUGAUGUUACCUGCAGAAUAAGCACCGGCUAAUUCCGUGCCAGCAGCCGCGGUAAUACGGAAGGUGCAAGCGUUAAUCGGAAUUACUGGGCGUAAAGCGCGCGUAGGUGGUUUGUUAAGUUGGAUGUGAAAGCCCUGGGCUCAACCUAGGAACUGCAUCCAAAACUAACUCACUAGAGUACGAUAGAGGGAGGUAGAAUUCAUAGUGUAGCGGUGGAAUGCGUAGAUAUUAUGAAGAAUACCAGUGGCGAAGGCGGCCUCCUGGAUCUGUACUGACACUAAGGUGCGAAAGCGUGGGUAGC